rnacentral:lncRNA from 1 species
AAUUUGCAUAAUUAACUUAAUCACAAAAGAUAUCCUCAUCUUCAAACAAACAAGUUAUUGAGUUGAGAGAAUUUUGAGGUGAGGAGCAAGUAGCUCGACUUCACUGUGAUUUCCUUGUCUACAAAACUUAUCCCAUUUUUCAGUGGGGCAAAGAAACUAGAGAAAGAGCAGUUUGUAUUUACGGCGAUGGAGCAGGGAGAUUACAUGGC